rnacentral:tRNA from 1 species
GGGCCUAUAGCUCAGCGGUUAGAGCAUCCGACUCAUAAUCGGACGGUCCCAGGUUCGAACCCUGGUGGGCCCA